UUAAAAAAAAAAGAUCUCAAUAGUAGGCUCUUCUUUUCUUCUGGUAAAAAAAAAAAAGAUUAAACAACUCUGCUUGGUAACUUUGAGUUUUGGAGCUCUGUUAAAUGGAUACUGAAGUUGUUUAUUGGUUACUGCUACCUUGCUCUCUGAUGCUGAAUUAUAUGUGUUCUAUUUAGUAUUUUGGAGCAAAAUUUCAAGCACCAAGGUACACACCAUGGCCUUAUGCUAAAAUCUUUGUAGUUUUGACCUAACAUGAAUGCUAAAAGUGUUGUUUGAAUAAUAGGAUGUGUAUCUCUAUUGAUUCUCGUUUCUUAUGCUUAAAACAUGCUUUUCUUGUAUUUCUAAUGCAUUAGUUGAUAUUUGUUAAGCCUGAGUUAUAUCUACACUGUUUUAUUGGUCAUUCAUGCCUAAUAUUUUGCUUCAUGGGUUGAGUUUUGUGUUAGCCAAUGGUCAUCAUGUAUGCAGUAUGUCUCUUGAUGGAUCUGAUCUCGAUAUGAUCAGAUUCAUGAGAGUUAGUUGAAAUUGAUAUUACUCUUGUGUGGGAAGAGUUGACAACUUUAUGGAGGAUUACAAUCCAAAUGUAUAUUUGAUUUUAAUAGUUUAGGUUAAUUCUGUUUGCUAUUUCAUAUGGCAAGUUUUGUUUAAUCUUCAUUUACUAGUUAAUUAUUUCCUCAAUGGCUCAAAGUCUUGUUAAAUGACAUUGAGCCUACAUGUAAGUAAAUGUAAUGUAUAAAGAAUUGUGAAG
rnacentral:lncRNA from 1 species